rnacentral:misc_RNA from 1 species
GAAGACUAAAGGCCCAUUGAAGGCAGCAUUAUGCGAGUUGCAUGUUUCUCACUUUCUCUUGAUUUUGUUUCAACUAUUAGCAAUCUGAUGAAAAGAAUAUUUCAUCUGGCCACUAGAUGCAGCACGUGUAAAAAAAGGGAGCACAAUGUCAAUUUCUUAUAUUGAGAAAUAGCUGCAAUUUGAACUUGUGUCUGAUCGAUUGGGUUUUUC